AUUGAACGCUGGCGGCAGGCCUAACACAUGCAAGUCGAGCGGUAACACAGGGAGCUUGCCCUGGGUGACGAGCGGCGGACGGGUGAGUAAUGUCUGGGAAACUGCCUGAUGGAGGGGGAUAACUACUGGAAACGGUAGCUAAUACCGCAUAACGUCGCAAGACCAAAGAGGGGGACCUUCGGGCCUCUUGCCAUCAGAUGUGCCCAGAUGGGAUUAGCUAGUAGGUGGGGUAAUGGCUCACCUAGGCGACGAUCCCUAGCUGGUCUGAGAGGAUGACCAGCCACCCUGGAACUGAGACACGGUCCAGACUCCUACGGGAGGCAGCAGUGGGGAAUAUUGCACAAUGGGCGCAAGCCUGAUGCAGCCAUGCCGCGUGUAUGAAGAAGGCCUUCGGGUUGUAAAGUACUUUCAGCGGGGAGGAAGGUGUUGAGGUUAACAACCUCAGCAAUUGACGUUACCCGCAGAAGAAGCACCGGCUAACUCCGUGCCAGCAGCCGCAGUAA
rnacentral:rRNA from 1 species